AAAAUUUGUUACAAUGUGUAACAGGCACUGUGGCUCAUAGGGGCAUACAGGCAAACUGGCAAAAGGGUAUAGGCACACGUUUGGUCAUAAGGAUCUGAGAGCACGUGUGUGUAGUGUACAUGGGUGAGUCUUUGGGUGUGUGAAUGUGAUUCUUGUGUGUGUGA